AUACGGAGGGGACAAGCGUUAUUCGGAAUCACUGGGCGUAAAGGACGCGUAGGCGGGUUAUUAAGUCGGGUGUGAAAUCCAAUGGCUCAACCAUUGAACUGCAUUCAAAACUGAUAACCUAGAGUAUGGAAGGGGCAGGUGGAAUUAGUGGUGUAGGGGUAAAAUCCGUAGAUAUCACUAGGAAUACCGAAAGCGAAGGCGACCUGCUGGGACAUUACUGACGCUGAGGCGUGAAAGCGUGGGGAGCAAACAGGAUUAGAUACCCCGGUAGUCC
rnacentral:rRNA from 1 species